rnacentral:lncRNA from 1 species
UGGGUGGUAUGUAAUAUGUUCUUGGCUUCAAAAACCUCAUCAGAUGGAGAGCACCGACUCGUCUUCCGGCUCGCAGCCGCCGCCGCAGCCAAACCUACCGCCGGGAUUCCGCUUCCACCCCACCGAUGAGGAGCUAGUCGUUCAUUACCUCAAGAAAAAGGCCUCCUCGGCUCCCCUCCCAGUUGCCAUCAUCGCCGAAGUCGACCUCUACAAAUUCGAUCCAUGGCAGCUCCCAGGUAAGUACUAUACUAUACCAGAUAAUUACUAAACUACUAGUUAAUGAGCGCAUAUAUUCUCUGAGUUGAUUGAAUCGAAUAGGGUAAGACUAUUGGUUCUCUUUCUUUAAAUUAAGAGACCUUUCUACCUCCUUUCUCUCUCUAUAAUAGAUAGAAACUGAUAUGGAGGUACGUAUGAUUUGAC